rnacentral:rRNA from 1 species
AGAGUUUGAUCCUGGCUCAGAUUGAACGCUGGCGGCAUGCCUAACACAUGCAAGUCGAACGGAAACGAUGCUAGCUUGCUAGCAGGCGUCGAGUGGCGGACGGGUGAGUAAUGUAUAGGGAUCUGCCUAGUAGUGGGGGACAACAUGUGGAAACGCAUGCUAAUACCGCAUACGCUCUACGGAGGAAAGUGGGGGACCUUUCGGGGCCUCAUGCUACUAGAUGAACCUAUAUUGGAUUAGCUUGUUGGUAAGGUAAUGGCUUACCAAGGCGACGAUCCAUAGCUGGUUUGAGAGAAUGAUCAGCCACACUGGGACUGAGACACGGCCCAGACUCCUACGGGAGGCAGCAGUGGGGAAUAUUGCACAAUGGAGGAAACUCUGAUGCAGCAAUGCCGCGUGUGUGAAGAAGGCCUUAGGGUUGUAAAGCACUUUCAGACGUGAGGAAAAGUAAUAAUUUAAUAAAUUAUUGCCUUGACGUUAACGUCAGAAGAAGGACCGGCUAACUCCGUGCCAGCAGCCGCGGUAAUACGGAGGGUCCAAGCGUUAAUCGGAAUUACUGGGCGUAAAGCGCGCGUAGGCGGAUAUUUAAGUCAGAUGUGAAAUCCCUGGGCUCAACCUAGGAACUGCAUUUGAUACUGGAUAUCUAGAGUAUGGUAGAGGUGAGUGGAAUUUCAGGUGUAGCGGUGAAAUGCGUAGAGAUCUGAAGGAACAUCAGUGGCGAAGGCGACUCACUGGGCCAUUACUGACGCUGAGGUGCGAAAGCGUGGGUAGCAAACAGGAUUAGAUACCCUGGUAGUCCACGCCCUAAACGAUGUCA